rnacentral:rRNA from 1 species
GUGUCAGCAGCCGCGGUAAUACGUAGGGUGCGAGCGUUAAUCGGAAUUACUGGGCGUAAAGCGUGCGCAGGCGGUUUCGUAAGACAGAUGUGAAAUCCCCGGGCUUAACCUGGGAACUGCAUUUGUGACUGCGAGACUAGAGUGCGGCAGAGGGGGGUAGAAUUCCACGUGUAGCAGUGAAAUGCGUAGAUAUGUGGAGGAAUACCGAUGGCGAAGGCAGCCCCCUGGGUCGACACUGACGCUCAUGCACGAAAGCGUGGGGAGCAAACAGGAUUAGAUACCCUGGUAGUCCACGCCCUAAACGAUGUCAACUAGGUGUUGGGGGAGGAGACUUCCUUAGUACCGCAGCUAACGCGUGAAGUUGACCGCCUGGGGAGUACGGCCGCAAGGUUGAA